rnacentral:lncRNA from 1 species
CCACACUAAAAUGCACCACAAACCCAAAAAAUGUAUUUACCAAAUAUAACGCUAACAUACUAUAUAUUUGAUAGGAUAGUGUAUAAUGGAUCUACACUUAUGGAUAAGAGAAUCUUGUAUCAAGCGAUGAUGACUGACAUUAGAGACUAGGUAGUCAAUUUUGUUGAAAACACUUCAAGAGCUUCCAAGGUGUGCUCGAUGCAUUGUUAACUAAUCCCACCUUGAAAGAUGAUUAGAUGAGUUGCUUUCAAUGAGGAGGUCCUUAAUGUUGAAAUCAAUGAAGAAUACUGAGGCAUGAUGCAUGAAGAAUAGCUUGUACUUGAACUUCAUCAGCCCAUCAAAAUUGAUGCUUUUUGAAAAGCAUCCAAUAAUGUGUCCCAACUCAUUUCGGAUCAAACCUCCAAUGCCCGAUAUCCCAGGGUUUUCUUUAGAAGCCCCAUCCACAUUGAGUAUCCAUGAGUUCAACCUCCACUUUAUUGGAUAGAGUUAUUUUGGAGCCAACCCAUUUUACAAAUGUGGAAAACAAAAUACAUAUAAGUGCGUCGAUCACAAACUUUGCUAAGUAAUUUAAAAUAGAGCUUAUAUUUUUU